GACGUAGGGGGCCAGCGUUGUUCGGAAUUACUGGGUGUAAAGGGCGCGUAGGCGGCACGGCAAGUCAGGAGUGAAAGCCCUGGGCUCAACCCGGGAACUGCUUUUGAAACUGCCGAGCUAGAGUGCGGAAGGGGCAACUGGAAUUCCCAGUGUAGCGGUGAAAUGCGUAGAUAUUGGGAAGAACACCUGAGGCGAAGGCGGGUUGCUGGGCCGACACUGACGCUGAGGCGCGAAAGCCAGGGGAGCGAACGGG
rnacentral:rRNA from 1 species